UACGGGGGGGGCAAGCGUUGUUCGGAAUUACUGGGCGUAAAGGGCUCGUAGGCGGCCAACUAAGUCAGACGUGAAAUCCCUCGGCUUAACCGGGGAACUGCGUCUGAUACUGGAUGGCUUGAAUCCGGGAGAGGGAUGCGGAAUUCCAGGUGUAGCGGUGAAAUGCGUAGAUAUCAGGAGGAACACCGGUGGCGAAGGCGGGACUCUGGGCCGAUACUGACGCUGAGGAGCGAAAGCGUGGGGGGCAAACAGG
rnacentral:rRNA from 1 species